UACGUAGGGAGCAAGCGUUGUUCGGAUUUACUGGGCGUAAAGGGCGCGUAGGCGGCGCGGUAAGUCACUUGUGAAAUCUCUGAGCUUAACUCAGAACGGCCAAGUGAUACUGCAGUGCUUGAGUGUGGAAGGGGCAAUCGGAAUUCUUGGUGUAGCGGUGAAAUGCGUAGAUAUCAAGAGGAACACCUGAGGUGAAGACGGGUUGCUGGGCCAACACUGACGCUGAUGCGCGAAAGCCAGGGGAGCAAACGGG
rnacentral:rRNA from 1 species